ensembl:lncRNA
CUAUAAAGAAAGCUGAGUGCCGAAGCAUUGAUGCUUUUGAACUGUGGUGUUGGAGAAGACUCUUGAGAGUCCCUUGGACUGCAAGGAGAUCCAACCAGUCCAUCCUCAAGGAAAUCAGUCCUGAAUAUUCAUUGGAAGGACUGAUGCUGAAGCUGAAACUCCAAUACUUUGGCCACCUGAUGUGAAGAACUGACUCAUUUGAAAAGACCCUGAUGCUGGCUCUCUGUUAUGAGUUAAGGAGCCUGUCUCACAAGUUCCUCCAAUCAUGUCCUGGCCGCUUUCUCCAGUCUGGAUGAGCUCCUGAGAAAACUAAAAUGGAUAAAAUGGGGUUUGUGUUAUUGUGAGCCUGCAAUUUGCUUCCUCCUUCAUAAAAUACUAGCCGGACGUCCAGUAUAUGAGCAUCAGCAUCUGUAAAUCCAGCAGCAUGACCGGUGGGCUGCUCACAUCAAGCAGGCAGACACUGUUGAUUAAGCUGGAGGUCUCCUUGAUAUCAUUUCCUGGUCUCCUGGUAUCGUCUUCAACUCCCCCAGUUUCAUUGCUGCAGGCAAGUCUUAACUCACCUGGAUUCACCUGGAGGAAGGGGACUAAUUCUAUCCACUGCUGGCAAUUAAAGAUGGCCACAAAUGCUUUU